UGCAUUCAAGGCUGGCGAUGAGAUUGAAUGCGGCAUGGCCGAGUCUGCCAGGCUGAAGUUGCAAGUGUGUGGCGAAUAAAUGGCAGACGACUGCCAACAUAGAACAAAUAUUGUGAGUUUUUUUCGAACAUUAUCGAGUCGAAUCUGGACGGAUCAUGUAGCUCCAGCAGAAGGACCUUCACAGGAAGAAGGAAGAACAUGAUAUGAGGCAGGAAAAGAUAGCCUCAUCCACACGCAAAAAAAUUCCAGAAUGAUUUAUUGGAAGUGCUGAGAAAUAUAAAUAAAUAAGUAUUUGCAUUAUGGUCUAAACAAUAUUUUGCGAUUGCAGAUCGUAUCUGUUCUGCUGACUGAUUAAAAUCACCAGAACUGUUGCUGUUAUCGGGCUGUUCGCAUAUUUUGCUGUUGAAACACGGCCGAAAUAAUUGCUACAUCUUCAUCAUCCAUUAUAAGAACCAAAAAUUAAUAAAUCUUCCGCGCAAAUUU